CUGGUAAUGUCUUGCCCUGCUAAGAAGGGCAAGAAAAGAAAGACAUUUUUAGAAAAAGCUGCAAAAAAGAGGUCUUUGGAUUUAGCGAGAGGAAAGACAAAAAUCUGCAUCGGAACAUCUUUUGAACGAUGGCGACAAUUGAAGGAGGACAAGGGCCUGAAAACUGAUGCUAUGGUUGCUGAAUUACUUUUGGACAGCUAUAACUGUGCUCCGUCGACUUCAACGCCGUGGAAGGACUCACUUGUGAGACUACCUAACCCCGCUGUGUCAACUGUUGCUCCCGAGUCACUGUCUGAGAGAGAUGAUAAUUUCUCCGUUGUUGGAGUCCAGGAGUUAGACAUUAGUGGUCCCGAAGAGACAGCUCUUCAGCAAUUGGAUUCAAGGUAUGGUAAUUAUAAUUAUAAUUUUUUUCCAUUUAUUUAAAAAAAAUGCACGCUGCUUUACUUGCAUCACAGUAACAUGUCAUAAUAUCCCUCAAUUAUUGUUCUUUGCCUGUGUAUUCAGUAUGCUGUCCCAGGACCUAAACGUUGAGGUUGGAGCUGAUGAAUUUAAUGACAUUCGGAACUCCAUUAUUGACUGGGAUGAUAGCACCUGGUACCCUGAUAAAGAGUCAGAGUCUUUGUCAUCAUCAGAAGAAGAUGUAACCAGGGAGGUCGAUUAUUCUCUCACAAUAAUGUGUUUUUUGGGAGGUGUAAUUUUCAUAGCUACUUUUAUUACAACAGGACUGGUGGUGCUCUCAACAGUAAAAUUUGCUUGGAUGUUCUUCCUACAAUCAGCAUGGAAGACACUGUGCAUGAUGUUUCAGCCAAUAUCCCAGAUCCUACCGACACAGACCUUCACACAUUUCCAGAGUCAUGUAAAGUUAUGGUGGAGGAUGAUAUUAUUGGUCAUCCUGCUUCUAUCACAUAUCAUGACAGCCUGAAGCGGCUUGCUGAGUAUCUCUGUCUACCUGUAAACACGUGUCCUGGUAAAGACUCAAAGACCAAGCAAAAGUGCAUGGAAACUGGCCCAUUUGAAAUCAAUAUAAAGUCCAGGGGAACAGCUGCUGUAAUUGAAUGGGUAAGUCAUUUUUUGUGUUUUUUAAACGUUUAUGUUUUUCACAUUCAUAUUUGUUGUUUUGUAAUGUGCGCCCCUUCCCCCUCCACAGAAAUGUCCUUUUGGUCAUACAGUGUGGAAAUCGUGUUCCCAGCCCACUUUGAAAUAUGGGAUGCUAGUUGGAGACUUCAUGCUGUCUACUAAUAUACUACUAUCAGGCAACAACUAUGCCAAGAUAUCCCUGUUAUUCAAGUUCAUGAAACUGGGGAUGGUGGAAAGAUCAACAUUCUUCAGGGCUCAGGACUCCUACUGUGUGGACACUAUAAAGGAGUUCUGGAGUCAGAAGAGGGCCGCAAUCAUCACCCAGCUUCAGGCAAAAGGGCCUGUUGUCGUCUUGGGUGAUGCCCGCAUCGACAGUCCAGGUUUCUGUGCACAAUAUUGCACAUAUUCUGUCAUGGACAAUGAUUCCAAACAGAUCAUGUCUAUUAUCAACAUUGAUAAGCGAGAGACACUGCGAAAUUCCGUAAUCAUGGAAAAGGAAGGCUUCAUACGAGCAUUUGAGACACUGCGUAAAGACCUCCAAAUCGUAGAAGUCUGCACGGAUGCUCAUACGCAAAUAUCAGCCCUCUUCAGCAAAGGAAAAUAUAAAGACAUUGGACAUUUGGCAUGGGUCAAAGAGCUUGAGCAAAAAAAUUAAUACGGUAAUUUCAUAAUCCUUCUGGGUGGUAUUAUUGCUGAAUCGCUACACAAUGUUUCCUCUCAUAUAUACAUUUGUUAUCCCAUUUUU
ensembl:lncRNA